rnacentral:rRNA from 1 species
AUCAGUGUGUGUGUUAGUGGAAGCGUCUGGAAAGGCGCGCGAUACAGGGUGACAGCCCCGUACACAAAAAUGCACAUGCUGUGAGCUCGAUGAGUAGGGCGGGACACGUGGUAUCCUGUCUGAAUAUGGGGGGACCAUCCUCCAAGGCUAAAUACUCCUGACUGACCGAUAGUGAACCAGUACCGUGAGGGAAAGGCGAAAAGAACCCCGGCGAGGGGAGUGAAAAAGAACCUGAAACCGUGUACGUACAAGCAGUGGGAGCACGCUUCGGCGUGUGACUGCGUACCUUUUGUAUAAUGGGUCAGCGACUUAUAUUCUGUAGCAAGGUUAACCGAAUAGGGGAGCCGAAGGGAAACCGAGUCUUAACUGGGCGUUAAGUUGCAGGGUAUAGACCCGAAACCCGGUGAUCUAGCCAUGGGCAGGUUGAAGGUUGGGUAACACUAACUGGAGGACCGAACCGACUAAUGUUGAAAAAUUAGCGGAUGACUUGUGGCUGGGGGUGAAAGGCCAAUCAAACCGGGAGAUAGCUGGUUCUCCCCGAAAGCUAUUUAGGUAGCGCCUCGUGAAUUCAUCUCCGGGGGUAGAGCACUGUUUCGGCAAGGGGGUCAUCCCGACUUACCAACCCGAUGCAAACUGCGAAUACCGGAGAAUGUUAUCACGGGAGACACACGGCGGGUGCUAACGUCCGUCGUGAAGAGGGAAACAACCCAGACCGCCAGCUAAGGUCCCAAAGUCAUGGUUAAGUGGGAAACGAUGUGGGAAGGCCCAGACAGCCAGGAUGUUGGCUUAGAAGCAGCCAUCAUUUAAAGAAAGCGUAAUAGCUCACUGGUCGAGUCGGCCUGCGCGGAAGAUGUAACGGGGCUAAACCAUGCACCGAAGCUGCGGCAGCGACGCUUAUGCGUUGUUGGGUAGGGGAGCGUUCUGUAAGCCUGUGAAGGUGUGCUGUGAGGCAUGCUGGAGGUAUCAGAAGUGCGAAUGCUGACAUAAGUAACGAUAAAGCGGGUGAAAAGCCCGCUCGCCGGAAGACCAAGGGUUCCUGUCCAACGUUAAUCGGGGCAGGGUGAGUCGACCCCUAAGGCGAGGCCGAAAGGCGUAGUCGAUGGGAAACAGGUUAAUAUUCCUGUACUUGGUGUUACUGCGAAGGGGGGACGGAGAAGGCUAUGUUGGCCGGGCGACGGUUGUCCCGGUUUAAGCGUGUAGGCUGGUUUUCCAGGCAAAUCCGGAAAAUCAAGGCUGAGGCGUGAUGACGAGGCACUACGGUGCUGAAGCAACAAAUGCCCUGCUUCCAGGAAAAGCCUCUAAGCAUCAGGUAACAUCAAAUCGUACCCCAAACCGACACAGGUGGUCAGGUAGAGAAUACCAAGGCGCUUGAGAGAACUCGGGUGAAGGAACUAGGCAAAAUGGUGCCGUAACUUCGGGAGAAGGCACGCUGAUAUGUAGGUGAGGUCCCUCGCGGAUGGAGCUGAAAUCAGUCGAAGAUACCAGCUGGCUGCAACUGUUUAUUAAAAACACAGCACUGUGCAAACACGAAAGUGGACGUAUACGGUGUGACGCCUGCCCGGUGCCGGAAGGUUAAUUGAUGGGGUUAGCGGUAACGCGAAGCUCUUGAUCGAAGCCCCGGUAAACGGCGGCCGUAACUAUAACGGUCCUAAGGUAGCGAAAUUCCUUGUCGGGUAAGUUCCGACCUGCACGAAUGGCGUAAUGAUGGCCAGGCUGUCUCCACCCGAGACUCAGUGAAAUUGAACUCGCUGUGAAGAUGCAGUGUACCCGCGGCAAGACGGAAAGACCCCGUGAACCUUUACUAUAGCUUGACACUGAACAUUGAGCCUUGAUGUGUAGGAUAGGUGGGAGGCUUUGAAGUGUGGACGCCAGUCUGCAUGGAGCCGACCUUGAAAUACCACCCUUUAAUGUUUGAUGUUCUAACGUUGACCCGUAAUCCGGGUUGCGGACAGUGUCUGGUGGGUAGUUUGACUGGGGCGGUCUCCUCCUAAAGAGUAACGGAGGAGCACGAAGGUUGGCUAAUCCUGGUCGGACAUCAGGAGGUUAGUGCAAUGGCAUAAGCCAGCUUGACUGCGAGCGUGACGGCGCGAGCAGGUGCGAAAGCAGGUCAUAGUGAUCCGGUGGUUCUGAAUGGAAGGGCCAUCGCUCAACGGAUAAAAGGUACUCCGGGGAUAACAGGCUGAUACCGCCCAAGAGUUCAUAUCGACGGCGGUGUUUGGCACCUCGAUGUCGGCUCAUCACAUCCUGGGGCUGAAGUAGGUCCCAAGGGUAUGGCUGUUCGCCAUUUAAAGUGGUACGCGAGCUGGGUUUAGAACGUCGUGAGACAGUUCGGUCCCUAUCUGCCGUGGGCGCUGGAGAACUGAGGGGGGCUGCUCCUAGUACGAGAGGACCGGAGUGGACGCAUCACUGGUGUUCGGGUUGUCAUGCCAAUGGCACUGCCCGGUAGCUAAAUGCGGAAGAGAUAAGUGCUGAAAGCAUCUAAGCACGAAACUUGCC